ensembl:lncRNA
GGGGAAUGAAGACACAAAAACGAAUGCACUAGAAACCACUCGGGCCAGGUGUGCAGUAAACACUUGUAAUCCAGUGUCCAGGAAGCCAAGGCAAGAGGCUCUCAAGUUUAAGGUCAGCCUGGGUUAAAAAGCAAGACCCUGGCUCAAACAAACAAACAAACAAACAAACAAACAAACAAACCAAACCCUGAACACAUAGUGGCUGCUAUCUGGUCAGUAAGUCAAGCUGUCCAAUGUUCUAUAUCUCUCUGAUUAAAAUAUAAAUUCCUUGGGGGCAGAGACUCUCUUCUCUCUCCCUCAGAUAAUCCUAAGAAUGUCAUCUUUGUUAGUGGGUGACUUUGGGAAGGGGAAUGGGAGCAGAUACUUGCUGGGGGUGGGGGUGGGAGGCUGAUAUAAUAAUUAUCAUUGAAGACUGAGAGAUAAACCUGAAAACUCACGGCUGCUCUAGGUAAGACUGGGAUUUCUUACUAUGUCUCUAAAUGGAAAAGGUGCAAACAUCCCAUAGACUCUUCCAGAAGUCUCCUCAGUGGUAGCAAUUUUUAUCCACUUGGGUAUGAAGCCCUGUUCUUGAGACUCUGCCCCAGUGUGAACUCUUUAAUGUAGUCCUCACUAACACUCUGAAAGACCGAAAUGACAUCAACAAGACUCACAAGAGUAGCGCUAACAGAUUUUUUUGUAUCGAUGAAAUGCCAAUACUGUUGAUCAGGUAUUUGGUGUGAAAAUUGGAUUAGAGAGUGAGAUAAACUAAAGCCAGAAACCAGCAUACUGGAAAAACAAAACAAAACAAAACAACUGGGCUUCUUUUGUUGAGGAAACCCAAGGAAGAGUCCAUGUUUCAGACCUUUCAGAGCAGGGCCUAUGAUUAAAAUGAACACCAUCUUUGGGGCAGGGACAUUUCCAAAGAGCCUGAAAGGGCAGGCUUGCUUGCUAUUUAGGACGCCACAGAGACGGUUGGAGCUCAUUGUAACACCAGGCAAGGACUGGGUGGGCCAUGCAAAGGACCUCAUGUACAUCACAAAUUUUAUCCCAUCGAGAGUUCUGAUAUUCAAAACGAGAUCAAAUCACAUAAUAAGAAAACACAAUUCUGUUCUGAGGUGUUACAUUCUUGGGUGUAAAAUUUUCAUUAAUUGGUUUGUGCACGUUUUGUGUAGGGGCUCGUGGCGUGGCACCUGUCAGAGGACGACUUAUGGGAGUUGGUUCUCUGUUCCACUGUGUGGAUCCUGGAGAGCAAGCUCAGGACCUCAGGUGGAUGGCAAGUGCCAUUCCCCCACAGAGCCAUCUUGCUGGUCCCUUAGGUGGGGUUCUAUUAGGACCUUCCAACCACAGCACCACCAGACGGCUGUUCUGUACUCUGUUAGUAAACCUCACUGUGCAGCGUGGCCACCUUGAGCUUGAAGCGAGCCCCGGAGUUGAGAGUACAGAUGGCACAUUUGUGAUUUAUACAGCAGUUUGUUGUGAGUCGGAGGUUGGACAGAGCUGAUCCUUCUCAGGAAGAGCACUUGGAAAACACAGAGAGAGGAGGCAGACAGCCUCUCUGUGCUGAGUUAGAUCAGAGAACAUUAGAGAAGCCAGCAGUUCAGGUACCUGAGUUUCCUGUUGGAAGGCUGGACAGUAACUGAAAGCGAGAACGCGAACAAAAGCUUACCGUGUUAAAAAGGACGGGAGUCAGAAAAUCCAAACUCUUCAGAGUUUGUGAGGCUUUGGAAGUUUUUUUAUAAAAAUCUAAUAGAAAGAUCUAUGAACAUUUCCCUUUUAGUCUUGGGAUUAUUCUGGUUUAUUGAAUGAUAUUUACAACCUAGGUUGGGAGUGAGCCUGCAAAAAAACAAUCACUAUGAAAACAAAUCAAAUUAUUUGGAAGCUUGAUAAAACUGAAUUAUUGGCGAUUUGCUUCAGUUAGGAACCCCUAUGGGUUAAUUUUCAGUUAAUGCCAGAGAAAGACUUCAGUUUAGCUAUGGUGUUUAACUCUAAUAGGUCCCCUUGGAAGGGUGAUGUUAGAAAUAACCACAAGUCUUAACAAUCAACACAGUGCAUUCAUUGGUUCAAUUUACAUUUCCACAACAGGCUACCCAUGCUCAAUAACAGACAAUCUGCCCGUAAGUUCUUUAAGACAGAGCUUUUCUGAACAUGGCACGUGAUUCAUAUGAUUUAAUAUUCUGAAACUGAAUAUUUCUUCAUAUAAGACAUAUAAGCCAUAAUAGUAUUUCAAAAUAUUAUUAUCUUAAUUCCAGGUUUAAAGAAAUCAUGACUGAAACUUUAAGCAGAAGACAGAAGUGCUUGCACAUGGCUGGCCCCUCGCACGAUUGUUCACUGCUCUUCCUCCACCCACCGCCAUGAAUCCCGUCCCCCAGGUCACUAAACUCAGACUCCGGGCACAGCGCUGGACAAGCGCUUCGUCACUGAGCUACACCCUCACAGCUCUCUGUCUUAACUCAGACGAGGAGGACCAUGUGUUUCCCAGGCCUUGUCCAUGUCUACGUGUCACAAAAAAACAGGUCUAGGCAAGGUCAUGGGGGCCAAGAAAACGAUCUUCAAAACAGGGUUUUGGAAGUCAAAUCAUCUUCCCACUGUCGGUGUUAAAUUUUUCCCUAGGCCAGUCGGUGGAGUGUGUCACUCAUGUCUCCACACAAAAGCUUCACCCGACACUAGGCAGGAACUAUUGCUAAGCGAGAACACCGAGAGGUUAGUCAGCUCUAAGUGAGGUGCAUCCUUAAGCAGACAGCCGAGGAGUUCCCAUGCUUGCC